CGAGGCAGUCCUCUGCUGUGCAGCCUGAGCUGCAAACCUGGCUACGUGGUUGAUGAUGGGUGCAAAAUUGGUGGGGCCGUAGAGGCGAACUUGGGGCAGGGCUAGACGAUAGGCUUCCACAAUACCCUGGAUACCUAGACAGUAGGGGUUGCUGGGGUUGAAGUUCAAGGCAAAUUCAUGGGAGACCUGAGGGCAAGAAUUAAAAUGAGCUCUUCCCCCUAAGAUUACUUUUUUAUUCAG